GUGCAGAAUGUCCAAUGGAAUGACCAGUUACGAGACGUCCUACGCAAUGGCCAACCCUUCCCUCCCCUUACCCACCUCCCGUCCCCCCCAGCCAUCCCUUUAUCCAGCAAUAGCUCGGUGCAUCAGUUCAUGGGGAACGGCUGGCGGCUGGCUGCUCGUGAUCCUUGCCGCCCCCGCGAAUUCUGAACCACACUUCAUAUUUUCAUAUGGUACCAUGUGGCUUUUGAGGCUUUGCUAACUUUUUAAGCCUCUUUGUACAGUUUAAAUAACGUAAGCGUUGAUGCAGAUAGACAUAUGCAAUUAUAAUGUAUUGGCUGAAAUGGAAUGAAAAUCUGUACACUUUAUGUUUAUUUGUUCAGCAAAUUUAAAGUCACGGCCAAAAACCUGGGUUCCGGAUAUGUCUGACGUAUCCUGAUAUUUUCCUGACUCAGUUCGGGUAUCGAAACAUAAGUUCGGCCAUACACCAGACACCAUCCCUCGGUCAGUGUCCGCAACACCUUGUGGGUAACUGCAUGCGUGCCGGGCAUAUUUGUUUAUUGUUGUUUCGUGCUGUUAAUUGGCCGCUAACCUUACAUUUUCAUAUAACAAGGAAAUGUAUUGGAAUGAAGUACACGAAUAAUUCGCAUUAAUAUACGUAAUAUUUUUGGCGACUUUAAGUUAAAAAAAAAUGUAAAAAAAUUGCGAACGCUGAAUUGCUGCUGCCAACACUGUUUGUUUACAUGUAUCAUCUGAAUAAAUGCUUGUAGUUAUCAUUCAGCUUUUAUUAUCCAUUUGAUAUUUUUAUUACCUUAUUCUUGUAGAAUAAUGGAAAAAAAUAUUCGCAGUAUCAUGAUAUGCUUAAGCACCUGGAGUCGAAAAAGAAAAUGGCAGACAUUCCGUGACUUACGUCGACGGUGCGUCCUGUGUUGACAUGGAUUGGAAAUCUUCAGAUAACUUGUUUUAGUUAUUCUUUCUUAA